rnacentral:rRNA from 1 species
GACAGAGGCCCCAAGCGUUAGGCGGAAUCACUGGGCUUAAAGCGUGUGUAGGCGGACGCCUAAGUGUCUUGUGAAAUCCCACGGCUCACCCGUGGAACUGCUGGGCAUACUGGGCGUCUUGGGCCAACUAGGGGCAGCCGGAACAAGCGGGUGGAGCGGUGAAAUGCGUAGAUAUCGCUUGGAACGCCGAAGGUGAAAACAGGCUGCUGGGGUUGUGCCGACGCUGAGACACGAAAGCCAGGGGAGCAAACGGG